rnacentral:rRNA from 1 species
UAGUGGCGAACGGGUGAGUAACACGUGGGCAAUCUGCCCUUCACUCUGGGACAAGCCCUGGAAACGGGGUCUAAUACCGGAUAACACUCCUGCUCUCAUGGGCAGGGGUUAAAAGCUCCGGCGGUGAAGGAUGAGCCCGCGGCCUAUCAGCUUGUUGGUGAGGUAAUGGCUCACCAAGGCGACGACGGGUAGCCGGCCUGAGAGGGCGACCGGCCACACUGGGACUGAGACACGGCCCAGACUCCUACGGGAGGCAGCAGUGGGGAAUAUUGCACAAUGGGCGAAAGCCUGAUGCAGCGACGCCGCGUGAGGGAUGACGGCCUUCGGGUUGUAAACCUCUUUCAGCAGGGAAGAAGCGAAAGUGACGGUACCUGCAGAAGAAGCGCCGGCUAACUACGUGCCAGCAGCCGCGGUAAUACGUAGGGCGCAAGCGUUGUCCGGAAUUAUUGGGCGUAAAGAGCUCGUAGGCGGCUUGUCACGUCGGGUGUGAAAGCCCGGGGCUUAACCCCGGGUCUGCAUUCGAUACGGGCUAGCUAGAGUGUGGUAGGGGAGAUCGGAAUUCCU